UACGGGGGGAGCAAGCGUUGUUCGGAUUUACUGGGCGUAAAGGGCGCGUAGGCGGCGAUUGCAAGUCAGUUGUGAAAUCUCCGGGCUUAACCCGGAAAGGUCAACUGAUACUGCAGGGCUAGAGUGCAGAAGGGGCAACUGGAAUUCUCGGUGUAGCGGUGAAAUGCGUAGAUAUCGAGAGGAACACCUGCGGCGAAGGCGGUUUGCUGGGCUGACACUGACGCUGAUGCGCGAAAGCCAGGGGAGCGAACGGG
rnacentral:rRNA from 1 species